UGGGGAAUUUUGGACAAUGGGCGCAAGCCUGAUCCAGCCAUGCCGCGUGCGGGAAGAAGGCCUUCGGGUUGUAAACCGCUUUUGUCAGGGAAGAAAUCUUCUGAGUUAAUACCUCGGGAGGAUGACGGUACCUGAAGAAUAAGCACCGGCUAACUACGUGCCAGCAGCCGCGGUAAUACGUAGGGUGCAAGCGUUAAUCGGAAUUACUGGGCGUAAAGCGUGCGCAGGCGGUUUUGUAAGACAGAGGUGAAAUCCCCGGGCUCAACCUGGGAACUGCCUUUGUGACUGCAAGGCUUGAGUGCGGCAGAGGGGGAUGGAAUUCCGCGUGUAGCGUGAAAUGCGUAGAUAUGCGGAGGAACACCGAUGGCGAAGGCAAUCCCCUGGGCCUGCACUGACGCUCAUGCACGAAAGCGUGGGGAGCAAAACAGGAUUAGAUCCCUGGUAGUCCACGCCCUAAACGAUGUCAACUGGUUGUUGGGAAGGUUCCUUCUCAGUAACGUAGCUAACGCGUGAAGUUGACCGCCUGGGGAGUACGGCCGCAAGUUGAAACUCAAAGGAAUUGACAGGGGU
rnacentral:rRNA from 1 species